rnacentral:rRNA from 1 species
CCUACGGGGUGCAGCAGUGAGGAAUAUUGGUCAAUGGACGAGAGUCUGAACCAGCUAAGUAGCGUGAAGGAUGACUGCCCUAUGGGUUGUAAACUUUUUUUAUAUGGGAAUAAAACGUUCCACGUGUGGGAUUUUGUAUGUACCAUAUGAAUAAGGAUCGGCUAACUCCGUGCCAGCAGCCGCGGUAAUACGUAGGUUCCGAGCGUUAUCCGGAUUUAUUGGGUGUAAAGGGAGCGUAGGUGGAUUGGUAAGUCAGUUGUGAAAGUUUGCGGCUCAACCGUAAAAUUGCAGUUGAAACUGGCAGUCUUGAGUACAGGAGAGGUAGGCGGAAUUCGUGGUGUAGCGGUGAAAUGCUUAGAUAUCAGGAAGAACACCGAUGGCGAAGGCAGUCCACUGGACUGCAACUGACGCUGAGGCGCGAAAGUGUGGGGAUCAAACAGGAUUAGAUACCCGUGUAGUC